GACGAACGCUGGCGGCGUGCUUAACACAUGCAAGUCGAACGGAAAGGCCCUGCUUUUGUGGGGUGCUCGAGUGGCGAACGGGUGAGUAACACGUGAGUAACCUGCCCUUGACUUUGGGAUAACUUCAGGAAACUGGGGCUAAUACCGGAUAGGAGCACCUGCUGCAUGGUGGGGGUUGGAAAGUUUCGGCGGUUGGGGAUGGACUCGCGGCUUAUCAGCUUGUUGGUGGGGUAGUGGCUUACCAAGGCUUUGACGGGUAGCCGGCCUGAGAGGGUGACCGGCCACAUUGGGACUGAGAUACAGCCCAGACUCCUACGGGAGGCAGCAGUGGGGAAUAUUGCACAAUGGGCGGAAGCCUGAUGCAGCAACGCCGCGUGCGGGAUGACGGCCUUCGGGUUGUAAACCGCUUUCGCCUGUGACGAAGCGUGAGUGACGGUAAUGGGUAAAGAAGCACCGGCUAACUACGUG
rnacentral:rRNA from 1 species